rnacentral:lncRNA from 1 species
AUGCCCCUCUGCCUGACCGCGCCACGGCCAGCCCCAGAAGAUGGCGGGCGGGCCGUGAGGGGCCGGGACCCGGCCCUAAAGCACAGUGCAUGGAUCCUUCUGCAUGGACCAUCCAGAUUCCUCAUCUGGUUGCUUACUAUGGCGCAGGCAUCUCAGUCUGUCUUGUUCUACGUUUUUCUUUGGGUCAUCCUUCUUUUCUCAAGGAGGGGGCACAGAGGUAAAACAAAAACAAGGAAUGACUGUGCGGCUACUAGAUCUGCAGUUGUCUCUAGUAGUGGCCAACAUUCAGUUCUGGUAGCAUUGAUGUCUUGACCUUUAUUUUAGUAAGCAUUAUCAAGUCAGAUCUGAUUAUGUACUUAAAAUGAAAAAAAAAAAGGGACCCUUAUAUGUAAAAUAAAUUAAAUCUUGUUUUGUGUUUGUAGCUUUAA